UAUUUACCCACUUCAUCCUCAAGACAAUACCAUUAAGUAUGCACGAUCAUCAACUCCAUUCUACAAAUGAAGAAACCGGCACAGUGAAGGCCAAGGAAUGACCACAUGAGAACACAGCAAGAAGGCAUCCACCUGCACGCCAGGAAGAGAGCCCUCACCUGCAACUGAAUUGGCUGACUUCUUGAUCUUGGACUUCCAGCCUCCAGAACUGUAAGAAAUAGAUUUUGUUCUUUUCUAGUUCCUGACCUCAUCUUCCAUCAGC
rnacentral:lncRNA from 1 species